GUCUCUUUUUUCUUCUGGACAGGAUCUAUGAAAACGACCCUUUUACUGAGUAGAUUUGUUUACAAAUCUGGAAAGCUCAGACCUCUUUGGAUUCAUUUAAGAAGCAAAACUCCCUCCUCCCCAGGUUCUUUUAUUUCAGACCCUGUGUGGACAGUAAUGACCGCACGUUUCCGAUUGCCUGCUGGCAGAACCUACAAUGUACGAGCAUCUGAGCUGGCACGAGACAGGCAGCAUACGGAGGUGGUCUGCAACAUUCUUCUCCUGGAUAACACUGUACAAGCUUUCAGAGUUAAUAAACACGAUCAGGGACAAGUUCUGUUGGACAUAGUCUUCAAACAUCUCGAUUUGACAGAGAGAGAUUACUUUGGUUUACAGCUGGCGGAUGAAUCCACUGAUAACCCUAGGUGGUUGGAUCCAAACAAACCUAUCAGGAAACAAUUAAAAAGAGGAUCUCCUCACAGUUUGAACUUGAGAGUUAAGUUUUUUGUAAGUGACCCAAACAAGCUUCAAGAAGAAUAUACAAGGUACCAGUAUUUUUUACAACUUAAGCAGGACAUUCUUACUGGAAGGUUGCCCUGUCCGUAUAAUACUGCUGCUCUUCUGGCUUCCUAUGCUGUUCAAUCUGAGCUGGGAGACUACAACCAUUCAGAAAACCUGCCAGGCUACCUCUCAGACUAUUCUUUCAUCCCUGGCCAGCCUCAAGACUUUGAAAAAGAGAUAGCAAAGUUACAUCAGCAGCACAUAGGGUUGUCUCCUGCAGAAGCAGAGUUCAAUUAUCUCAAUACAGCACGUACCUUAGAACUCUAUGGAGUUGAAUUGCACUAUGCAAGGGAUCAGAGUAACAAUGAAAUAAUGAUUGGAGUGAUGUCAGGUGGAAUACUGAUCUUUAAGAACAGAGUACGAAUCAACACCUUCCCGUGGUUGAAGAUUGUAAAGAUUUCUUUUAAAUGCAAGCAGUUUUUUGUUCAGCUUAGGAAAGAAUUGCAUGAAUCCAGAGAAACGUUACUGGGCUUCAAUAUGGUGAAUUACCGAGCAUGUAAGAAUCUGUGGAAAGCCUGUGUUGAACAUCACACGUUCUUCCGAUUGGACAGACCGCUCCCCCCUCAGAAGAACUUUUUUGCACAUUAUUUCACUUUGGGUUCAAAGUUCCGGUACUGUGGGAGAACAGAGGUCCAGUCUGUGCAGUAUGGCAAAGAAAGAGCAAACAAAGACAGGGUAUUUGCAAGAUCCCCCAGUAAGCCCUUGGCACGGAAAUUAAUGAGUGGGAUGGACUGGGAAGUAGUGAGCAGGAACUCGCUGUCUGAUGAUAGGUUAGAAACACAAAGCCUACCAUCACGGUCUCCACCUGGAACCCCAAAUCAUCGCAACUCUGCCUUCACUCAAGAAGGAGCUCGGUUACGACCCUCCUCAGUUGGACAUUUAGUGGACCAUGUAGUUCACAAUUCACCAAGUGAAGUGUUUGUGAACCACAGAUCUCCAUCUUCCACCCAGGCUAACAGCAUAAUACUGGAAUCAUCACCAUCUCAAGAAACUCCUAUAGAUGGGCAGCCUCCUGCAUUACCACCCAAACAAUUUAAAAAGAACAGUUGGAACCAAAUUCAUCAUUCACACUCACAGCAAGAACUGGAUAACCACAUCAAUGAAACAUUUGAUGUCCCUGUAUCUCCUGAAAAGUCCACACCCAAUGGUGGUGUUCCCCAUGACAAUCUUGUUAUGAUCAGAAUGAAACCAGAUGAAAAUGGAAGGUUUGGCUUCAAUGUAAAGGGUGGAUAUGAUCAGAAGAUGCCAGUGAUAGUGUCCAGGGUAGCUCCAGGAACACCUGCUGAUCUUUGUGUCCCUCGUUUGAAUGAAGGAGACCAGGUUGUACUGAUCAAUGGCAGGGAUAUAGCAGAACACACCCAUGAUCAAGUUGUUAUGUUCAUUAAAGCUAGCUGUGAGAGGCACUCAGGGGAACUUGUGCUCCUUGUUCGACCCAAUGCUGUCUAUGAUGUUGUGGAAGAGAAGCUGGAAAGCGAACCUGACUUCCAAUACAUCCCUGAGAAAUCUCCGCUUGAUGGUGUUCAUCAAGAUGAUAAUGCUCUGAGGGAAUCCAUGAUUCAGCUAGCAGAGGGGCUUAUCACUGGAACAGUUUUAGCGCAGUUUGAUCAACUGUAUAGGAAAAAGCCUGGAAUGACAAUGUCUUGUGCCAGAUUACCUCAAAACAUUUCCAAAAAUAGAUACAGAGACAUUUCGCCUUAUGACGCUACACGGGUUAUUUUAAAAAGUAAUGAAGAUUACAUCAAUGCAAAUUAUAUAAAUAUGGAAAUCCCUUCUUCCACAAUAAUAAACCAGUACAUUGCCUGUCAAGGUCCAUUGCCGAACACUUGUCCUGAUUUCUGGCAGAUGACUUGGGAACAAGGCUCAUCUAUGGUUGUAAUGUUAACAACACAAGUUGAACGAGGCAGGGCAGACUCCCUGCUCUAAAGCUGAUCAUGAGGCUUCUGACAUCACUAUCCCACUGCAUGCCGGGAUGUCUCAGUGGAGCAGGAAGUCUGCAAAUCUGGCUGCUUUAUAAAGAAUCGCCAGGUUAAAUGCCAUCAGUACUGGCCGGAGCCAUCGGGAAGCUCAUCAUAUGGGAAUUUCCAGAUUACCUGCCAUUCAGAAGAAGGAAAUCCUGCUUACGUCUUUCGAGAAAUGACACUGACUAAUCUGGAGAAAGAGGAAAGCCGCCAGCUAACCCAAAUUCAGUACAUAGCAUGGCCUGACCACGGGGUUCCUGAUGAUUCCAGCGAUUUCCUAGAUUUUGUGUGUCUCGUGCGAAAGAAGCGGGCUGGCAGAGAGGAACCUGUUGUUGUUCACUGCAGUGCUGGGAUUGGACGGACAGGAGUUCUUAUCACUAUGGAGACGGCAAUGUGUCUCAUUGAGUGCAAUCAGCCUGUUUAUCCAUUAGACAUUGUACGAACCAUGAGAGAUCAAAGAGCCAUGAUGAUCCAAACACCUAGUCAAUACAGAUUUGUGUGUGAAGCUAUUCUGAAGGUGUAUGAAGAAGGAUUUAUUAAACCUUUACAAGCAUCACCACAUAAAUAAAGAGCAAAAAACCUAGGAUGUAAACUGAGGAACUCUGUCCUCUAAAUAAUGAACUGGCAGCACUCUUUGUGCCAUAACACUGCUUGCAGGAAAUGAUAGUGAAGUACAGCAAAGAAUUGACAAAGGACUUUGAAAACUUCAGCACUGUUGCACUUUACAUUGAAACAAAAUCAGUCUCUGAAUCUUCAUCUGUUUGAAGACUUUAUUUUCGUGCUUUGCUCCGAACAAACCAUAAACUGAAAGAACUAAAUGUGUUCAGGGUAAUCUACGAGAUUUCAUUGUAGUGCCAUAUACUGCGCUUCUGGUUGAAUUGCUACAAACAAGGCUUGGAAUUAUUUCACUCUGUUUUACACCCAUGUCUCUUAAAAAUGAAAAACAAACGAAAAAAUACACUAAGCCAUGGUCCUUCUCCAGUGCUAGGUUUAUUUACUAUGUACAGACUCUCACUGUUUUGUUUUUUACAACAUUAGCAAUAUUGCCGAUACUAGAUAGAUACACACUGCCUACUGAUGCAGCACACUUUGUCCUACACCCUUCUUAGAGACCAGCUGGUUGUUAGAGGAGAGCUGGCGUCCGUGUUAACCCAGCAGUAGCUGCAUAAUGCCCACUUACCAGCAUCUUGUUUUAAAAAAAAAACAAAACAAAAAAACAAAAAAGAAAAGGAAAAAAAAAAAAAGGAAAAAGGAAAAAAAAAAAGAAAAAAGAAAACAAUAAUAAUAAAAACUUAAAAAAAAUAAAUAAUAAUAAACAGCAUUUCUUUGACACAGCUUGUGUGUCAUACACUGGUGUAUUCUGAUUCAUGUGACUUAAGAUUACGUGAUGGGAGCUAGUGCAUGCAUUAUGUCUUAACCCCUUAAGUGCCUUGAGACUUACAGCGUACAUCCAGUGAAAGGCACUCAUGAUUCUGUGGGGGUGGUCUUGUCCUGUUGUGUUUAUCUUAAUGGGUUCAGAUUUUAACAAACGGCCCUUGGUGCUUGGAAUAUGUUACUGCAAGGGGUCAUGGAAAUACCAUUCCCUCUUUCCUUAUACAAUUUACCUGCGUGCUACGCUCAGUAGCAAAAGCACCUCUGCCAACUUAAUGAAUGAGCAUUGUUUGCUGCUGCAUUGUAAUUAUGUGAAAAAUCUGACACAUUCCUUUAUUCCUUACAACUAGUAACUUACUAGCAGCCUACUAUGAAAUGCUAGUAGGUCAUUAGAAGCUGAUACUUUGUUUUAUCCUUUUAUUGAGAAUAGCUGUCUUACUCGAUUAGAACAUAACUCUUUAAUAGCACUGAUAAUUAAGUUGAACUUACAAUCAGAUGUGAUUUAAUUCCAUUAUUUGCUAACCAAGUAUUUUUUAAAUCCUCAUAGUUGAUUUCAAGCCAUUUUCGUACAGGUCUGCCUUUUAUUUUUCUAAUUGUUUGGGGAGGGUGGGAAGGGAGGCAAACACUGUAAUGCUGACCCACGACUCCUUUAAUUCCGUGAUGGUCCUGGUCACCCUCUGUCAUGCUUGUGCAAAGUUGUUCCCAUUGAUAUGGGUUGCCUCUUAUUUAAGUAGGUAUAAGAUUUGUAACAAGCGUCUGAUACAGUAUCUGAGCUCACUCUAAAGACAUAGAUAGGUUCCGUAUUUUAAUAUUUUUCCAAUAUAGGAGAAGCCCAAGUCAGAAGUGAGGUGUCCGGUGUAACAUACUGUAAGAAAACAAAAUCAGUCACUUCUUUGACUGCCUGCAACAAUGUAACUGUGUCCUCUAUUUAAAAACCUUAAUUUAUUGGUUUCCUGAAAAUGUCUAUCCAGUAAAUUUUGUUAUAAGCUAUAUAAAGCAUAGAGCUGGAAUGGAAAGUUCUACACUAAAGUUUUUAACUAUUGAAUGAUUAUAUAAUAUACGGUGUUCUGUGGACAUCUGAAAGAGAUCAGCUAUGAAAUAUGAAGUGAAAAGGGAUUCAGGCAAAGUGAAAUCCUGGCUUACGACUUAGUAAUACACAUGAACCACAAUGCCAAAUGGAAAAGAUAGUUUUAAUUAUUUUUAGAAUACAAGAUAAUAUUAGGUGGCCUUUGGCCCUGUUACUUAUAUUUCUAGAUUUGAUGCCUAAAUCAAUGUUUUUCCUCAGUGAGAAAUGAAUCUUAUGAGUAUCUCUGGAUCUGAUAAAUGGGAAAAGAGUGAUAAAGUAGCUUUAAUCUCAGUUUCCUUUUAAGCCAUUUGCAACAACAACAACAUAUUCUGUAUUAAAUUUAAAGCUUUAACUUUCGUAUGAUGAGAUUAUUAGCUGAGACGCCAGCUAACUGGAAGCUUAUUUUAAAGUCAGCACUUAAUAACUCAAGUGUAAAAUAAUUCAUCCAUUAUGUCGAAGUACACUUUUUUCACAGUCAAAUUGUAAAGAAAAAUAUCAUUUGCCCCUUUUUUUCCUGAGGGGAAUGAGAAACUUAAGUUUAUAGCAACAUGAAUGGUGUUGGUAUUUCACGUAUUUUAACUAUUGGUAUGUGAAGCUGCCAAAGCAGUUUGAGUUCAGAAUACCCAUUUAUACCACAAUUACACGUGGGGUAUUUGCUGGUCAUCUAUUGUUACUGCUCUGAUUUCAAAUACGGGCAAGAAUAUGAACUUAGAACCUUCCUCUGCAUUGACUUAAGCUGAUCUGCUGUUGUGUAUUAAGUAGUUGUACGGGGGGGGGGAGGGGGAAAUGAAGCAAGCUCAGAUAACUGGUCAUAAGUUCAUCAAUUUAGCUUCUAGAAAGCCAGCAAGAUGAGGAACCAAUAGCUGCUUGGGAAAGAGAAGGCUGAAGCUUUCCUGCACCAUAAAUCAUUCACUCAGAUGUUUGUUGUGGUAUAAAUGGCCUCCCCGAUAUUUUUAUAUGGCCAGAAAAAUCCAAACUGCUCAAUAUUUGACUUUGGGUUAUGAAGAUCUGUAUCAUUGCUCAGACUUUCUGAAGAAGUUUUUGUAUAUGUUUCAUGCUGUACAAAACAUGAAUGUAUCUUUUGGACGAAAUGAACUGGAUGUGAUUGGUGUUACGACUGUUGGAUUGGACAAACAAUUAUUUUCGUACCAUUUGAGUAGGAAAAAUAAUGGGUGGGUGGAGAAAGAGAAUGUUUGUAAUGCUUCCAUGGUACGGAUCCGGCUUAAAAAAAAAAAAGAAAUAAUGAAGUUUCCAUUGUAAAUAAGAGCAAUAUUAUGAGAGUUUUGUGCCAAUGUAUAACAUCGAGACUUUUUCCUUUUCAGUUCGAAUUCAAAACCACCUCUACCAUCUCUUGUUUAAAGUGGAUGUGAAGGUUUUUCUGUCAGCAGAAAAGUAGGAGGUUCUUGAGAAGGCUUUGCGUGUUUGGGGGGAGGGGGGCACUUUUAACUUUUGCUAAAUAUGAAAUAAGAUGCAGGUAAAUCACCAACAGAUUGUCAGCCAAUCCCUUCUGAGAAAAGCUGCUUUGGAUAUACCGGAGAGCUGAUAACUUAGUUGAUAUCCUGAAUUUGAAAGCAUUCAGUGAUUUAAACAGUGUCUGAAGCAGUGAGUUGCUGCUUUUGUACGUUCUGCUCUUAGACAUUCUCUCCUGCUCCUGGACAACAGUCUGGUUGUAUUGUACCAUGUUUAAUGCUAACUGAAGGCUCUUCCAUGUUUCUGUUAAAUGUUGGAAGCUUACAUCUCAUAGGUAAAGCAACAGCGCUUCAUCUAGAACAGCUGAUUGUGGCCUGGUGCACCACCUGAGAGAGAAGGGGUGAGAAAGCAGUUGGGAGAUGAAGGUACGUGAGGGGUUUGUUGUGGAACCUGGCAGCUUUCCUUGGAGAGCUUCUGAAAAGCUCUUUUGGUACCAGUGGGACGCAGCAGUACUGCCCAGGGUGAUGGGAAGUAGAGAAGGUCCUGCAUAGCAAUGCCAGACCUCCAGGCAUGCCACAGAGCUGAUUUAUGUGAUAUUUUUAUGCUUGUGUAGGUGUGAGUGAUGGUUGGUGGCUCAGGGAAUUAGUACGAGCAUGGUAAAUACUCUACAGAUGCACCAUCCACAAAUCUCUGUGCAAAAGCAUGUUGUCCAAUGCUUAUGGUGUAGUUGUGACUGUAGAGUUGUUACUGCAGGCAGUCUGAAGGACCCUCAGCCCUGAGGAUAAAGGAAGGAAUUGGAAUGUUGUCCAAACUCGAGAUCUGCUUAUUUGGAUUUUCACACAGGUCAAGAAUGGUGCCUUCUUAUGGCAUUCUCAGUCUUUUUGCACUGUGCGGGUCCCCAGCAGGAUGGGUCUGUUUGGUAACUGUAGAACCCACCUUUUGUCUUGAGACUGGAAAAGCUGCUUUUCAUUGCUGCCUUCAGCGCUGGGGUCAAACAGCAAAAUCUGAUGGAAAGAAGUUCAUUGAUUAAAUGCUUGCAUGAAAUUGCACAGAUUGUAAUUAGUGGUGAUUGGGAAGAUGUUACAAGGAGAAAAAAGCGGGUUUGUCUUAAGGUAACAUUUUGUCCAAUCUCAUUUAUCUCUAUCCCUGCUGCAUUUCAGCUCUGUGCUUGCUGCUACCACAAGUGUGCAUCUUCAGCUUGUUAGGCUUCAGUGCAUAACCUGCGAGCUCCAGCUGCUCACUGGGGCAUCAUUUGCUUAUCAAAUGGUAAGAGUUUCAGGAGAAAACAUAACAAGUACCCCCUCCUUCUUUCCUCUGAACCAUCUAGCCUAAAAAAUGCACUAAAAUACCCAUCAUUCCUGUAUUCUGCAAGAUGAUGUUUGGUUUCACGGGCUGGCUGACAGUUUGCAGGUGGUGCUAUUUCAUGUUUAGCAAGCUCACUUGUUUUAAAGGGCGAUUUUUCUCAAAGUGUUUUGAUGUUUGAAUAGUAGCACUUUAUCUCAUGCUUACUACUGACUGAACUGUCGGAGAGAAAUAAAUUGGGUUUGGAGAGA